UGUUAUAGUGGAAUGUAAUGUUAGUGAAAUAUUUAUGAAAGUAAUUGACGCAAGAAUGGCCGAACUAGCGGUAAUUGGAUCCACAUUUCAAGUAACUUAGAUGUGACUCUAUGAUAAAUAUCCACUUAUAAAAGGUUAAUCCAUCGCUUAAAUAUCCACUAAUGUAAACUUACUCUAUCGCAAGCAUAUGUAAUGACUAAUGAACAGCAGAGCAUGUCGUGAUAAGAGUGUACACGAGAAGAACGAAGCAUUUGAAGCAUCGAACUCUUGAGGCUGACGAGUGAACGAGCGCAGUGGCUGGGCGGUGGUGGCAGGCGAGGACGUGGCAGCCGUGUGGUGUUUGGUGUUUCAGUGACUGUGGUGAACGUGCAUGGUGACCGCCUACACAUUGGCUUGUUGAAGGAAAGGACUGCUGGUGAUCCGUGGAUGGUAUAUUGAGAAAGCACACAAGAUUCUGCAGUGCUUGGCUUGAGAAGUACCGAAUGACCAUUUUGUGAUUAGUGUCGAGUAUUGCUGGGUGAUGUAAAUGUUUGCGGCGUUACUUCGGUCACCAGUGUGUGGCAAGGCUAUGGAUGUGCUCAUGGACAACGACAAGAGUGAUGGGUGGAUGGUGAAGCAGGGCAGAAAAGGAUUGCUACACACAAAUCCAGAGAAGACAGCACAUCAUCUUCAAGACCCAGAGUUCAUCCAGCCGUCUUCCAAUCUGACGCUGUGGCUGCUGAGGAACAUUUGGCGUGUUUUAGGAGGACAAGACCUACACAGUUAUACAAUAGGUCUUGACGUAUUGAUGGGCGCUGCUUCAGUUCACGGCAGUACCACAGGCGAUCAUCAUAUCACGGGUACUAUGUAGGUCGCUUUAGUUCAUUUCCCGGAGGAUGAAGUCGCACCAGCAAGCACAAUAAAGCAGCCAACACGAGCAAGGCAGCCAACCAUCUCAAAUCAGUCUGCCGAGAAGGA